AGGAGAGAGACAGAAGAGAGAGAGACAGAAGAGAGAGGGAGACAGAAGAGAGAGAGAGAGACAGAAGAGAGAGGGAGACAGAAGAGAGAGGGAGACAGAAGAGAGAGGGAGACAGAAGAGAGAGGGAGACAGAAGAGAGAGGGAGACAAGAGAGAGGGAGACAGAAGAGAGAGGGAGACAGAAGAGAGAGGGAGACAGAAGAGAGAGAGAGACAGAAGAGAGAGAGAGACAGAAGAGGGAGAGAGACAGAAGAGGGAGAGAGACAGAAGAGGGAGAGAGACAGAAGAGGGAGAGAGACAGAGACAGAAGAGAGGAGGAGAGAGUGAGGAAGAGAGUGAGGAGAGGGAGAAGAGGAAGAGAGAGUGAGGAGAGGGAGAAGAGGAAGAGAGAAAGUGAUUGUCCUUGACUCUAGCCAAACAAUGGGACCAGUGCCAACCACCCCAAAACCAUUUCCCUUUCUCCCUGGAACUCGCUGAAGGACGUAUUUCAACCCCCGUGUCUCCUUCUUACCCUCGGUCUUCAGUAAAGUUCCCUUCUCACACUCAGGACCAGAGCCUAGAAGGACAGUGUUGUUGUGUUAAAUAAUCCUGUCCUCACACACUGGCUGGGGAGGUGUGUAUUUGUGAUGUGAUUUCAGUACUACCCAGAAAUACUAGAGCUCAGAAGACUUGAGCGUUGUCUCCUCGUCUCCUCCCACAGCGUCUGAGCUGACUUCACUCUGGGAGUGGUAGGAGGACAAAGAGAGAGUUAUGUUUACCCAGACAGCCUGAGUGUCUGUACAGUACGUCUCUUCACCUGAGGCCUCAGAACAUAGACCACACUAACUGUAACAGCCCCUGUGGAAACUGGAAUCGCUCCUCUCUCCUCCCUCUCUCCUCCCUCUCUCCUCCCUCUCUCAUCCCUCUCUCAUCCCUCUCCUCUCUCUUCUCUCUUCCCUCUCUCCUCUCUCGUCCCUCUCUCCUCUCUCCUCUCUCGUCCCUCUCACCUCUCUCGUCCCUCUCUCCUCUCUCGUCCCUCUCCCCUAUCUCUUCUCUCUCCCCUCUCUCUUCUCUCUCCCCUCUCUCCCCUCUCCCCUCUCUCCCCUCUCUCCUCCCUCUCUUCCCUCUCUCUUCCCUGUCCUCUCUGUACCUCUCGUCCCUCUCUCCUCUCUCGUCCCUCUCCUCUCUUGUCCCUCUCCCCUCUCUUGUCCCUCUCUCCUCCCUCUCUCUUCCCUCUCUCCUCUCUCUUCCCUCUCCUCUCUCUACCUCUCUCUACCUCUCUCGUCCCUCUCUCCUCCCUCUGCUCCUUCUCCAUCUCUCCUUCUCUGCUCCCUCUCUCCUUCUCUGCUCCCUCUCUCCUUCUCUCCUCCCUCUCUCCUUCUCUCCUCCUUCUCUCCUCCUCUCCUUCACUCCUCUCCAAACCCUGACUCAUCUAAUGCUACCUCUGUCUACACUAUCCAACUAAACAGGUAGACAGAUUGAGGGAAUAGACAGACAGCCCUGCCUGCUGAUUUCUGUCCAAUCACAUUCCUCUACACACAUACAGAUCUUCCUCUUCACCCGUUUCUAUUGGACCAACCAAGGAGAGAGAAUGAAGAGCCAGCAAUCCAGGUACCUACUGGGUUAACUUGGUGUCAAUGGAAGCCUGGACAUUCUGACCAAGGGAUUGUAUCUGCUUUGGACCAGGUCAUUGAGAAGCAUGUGCUUCUAACAUCUGAAAGAGAACUUUCCAAGAGUCUGGAAAAAUAGAUAUUUUGUCAGUUGGAGUUUUGUCAACACCCCCUCGCACCAUAUUGCCCUCCCAACUAGUCUCAUUGACCAGUAGUGUGUUACAACCCCCCAAACCAAAAAAAUGCCCCCAAACCACACUCUUAUGCCCCCAAACCACACUCUUAUGCCCCCAAACCACACUCUGGUGCCCCCAAACCACACUCUGGUGCCCCCAAACCACACUCUGCCCCCUCCCAACCACACUCUGCCCCCUCAGAAACAUCCGGCAUCCUCGAUCUCAGAAUCCAUUGUGUAGGUGCUUGUGACACUUUGAAACUUCGUUCCAGGUUUGUUAAAUAACCAUGUCAUCAACAGCAGAGAGAGAUGCUGACAUCGGGACUAUAUUGCUAACAGAACAGUGUUUUAAAAGCAAUAAGCAGAUAUAACAUAGCCAGACUUCCUGUUCCGUUUCCAAGAGAAGUUCUGAGGACCAGUAGGUUUGAAACGGACGUUUUACUCCAAAGCAGAGUGAUGGAAUAGCAACGGGACGUCUUCAUCAUUUUGGUGUACGGCGCGAUGAAGACGAGUACGAUGAAGAAGAGAGAGGAUUCUUCUCUUUCCCCCCCACCAUCUCAAGGAAUGUGAUUCACUUCUAAAUCGUUUUAAAUGGGGAAGCAUUUUUUUUUGGGGGGGGGGGUUAUUUAUUUCUUUGUAUUAUAAAAAAAUAAUCAAUAAAUAAGUUGUUCUUAUUGCGUACAGUACAACUGAAGUCGUCAGUGUUUAGUUUUCUCUUAGAAAAUGUCAUUAUUUUAUUAUCUAAAUGGCUUUGAUUCUUUCCAUUCUUGCUUUUAAAGCCUGACAUUAUGGUUUCUACUAGCUCUGGUCCAGGGCAUUAGUCCGUGUUCCUCCACUCCUGUUAGUAGAGAAACAUACGCUUACACCCUGGACCAGAGCUAGCUUCCUAUAUUAUUAAUAUCUCGUUUUGUGGUGCCAGAGCCUGCUGUUGUGUUGCUUACAGUGCCCUCCAGUGGUGAAAAGUGGAAGUGUCACUCAACAUAAAAUAAUCAAUGUGCUGCCAUGAUCCAUCCUCUGUGUACUAAAACACCUCUCUGUCUCUAUAGUCAGAAACGACAGUCGUUUUAUUCAGUUCAACCCCCACAGAUAAAGGAAUAAAGGAUAACUAUGUGAUUCAAUCUGAACCCCUCAACAUUGUCAAGCUACUCGAGCUGCAAUACAGGUGUCUGAGAACAAUAGAGUACAAUAUAUGUUGUUGAUGUUGUUGUUGUUGUUUUGGGUGUGAAUGAAUGGGUUAGAUUGCAUCUAUCUCCGUGUAGUCUGUUUUCUUCAUCCACUGAUGUGGAGACAUGACUUGGAUCCUGGCUUGUCUUCUAGCCCAACUCCUAUGGUCACAGUUGGCAUCAUGGCACAAACCGGUCUGACUAAGAAAACACCCGUGUCACUACUAAAAUGGACAGCUACCUGGUAUAAAACACACACACUUCAACGUGUCGAGUUUCUUUUGACGCUGUUGCUAGGCUGUAGUAUGAUAAUAAAUGUCUUUCCACCUCCGUAGAGACACUGUUACAGACAGACAGACACUGGGGAGGGAAACACUUAGUCAUCACUCAGGUGUGUGUGUGUGUGUCCCUUUUGCUGUGUGUGUGUCCCUUGUGCUGUGUGUGUGUGUGUGUGUGUCCCUUGUGCUGUGUGUGUGUGUGUGUGUGUGUCCCUUGUGCUGUGUGUGUGUGUCCCUUGUGCUGUGUGUGUGUGUCCCUUGUGCUGUGUGUGUGUGUGUGUGUGUGUCCCUUGUGCUGUGUGUGUGUCCCUUGUGCUGUGUGUGUGUGUGUGUCCCUUGUGCUGUGUGUGUCCCUUGUGCUGUGUGUGUGUGUCCCUUGUGCUGUGUGUGUGUGUGUGUGUGUGUGUGUGUGUCCCUUUUGCUGUGUGUGUGUCCCUUGUGCUGUGUGUGUGUCCCUUGUGCUGUGUGUGUGUCCCUUGUGCUGUGUGUGUGUCCCUUGUGCUGUGUGUGUGUGUGUCCCUUGUGCUGUGUGUGUGUGUGUGUCCCUUGUGCUGUGUGUGUGUGUGUGUGUCCCUUGUGCUGUGUGUGUGUGUGUGUGUCCCUUUUGCUGUGUGUGUGUCCCUUGUGCUGUGUGUGUGUGUGUGUCCCUUGUGCUGUGUGUGUGUGUGUGUGUCCUUGUGCUGUGUGUGUGUGUGUGUGUCCCUUGUGCUGUGUGUGUGUGUGUCCUUGUGCUGUGUGUGUCCCUUGUGCUGUGUGUGUGUGUGUGUCCCUUGUGCUGUGUGUGUGUGUCCCUUGUGCUGUGUGUGUGUGUCCCUUGUGCUGUGUGUGUGUGUGUCCCUUGUGCUGUGUGUGUGUGUGUGUGUCCCUUGUGCUGUGUGUGUGUGUGUGUGUCCCUUGUGUGUGUGUGUGUGUGUGUGUCCCUUUUGCUGUGUGUGUGUGUGUCCCUUGUGCUGUGUGUGUGUGUCCCUUGUACUGUGUGUGUGUGUGUGUCCCUUGUGCUGUGUGUGUCCCUUGUGCUGUGUGUGUGUGUGUGUGUGUGUGUCCCUUGUGUCAGUGUGUGUGAUGGGUAUUGCAGUCCCUUGUACUGUGUGUGUGUGUGUGUCCCUUGUGCUGUGUGUGUCCCUUGUGCUGUGUGUGUGUGUGUGUGUCCCUUGUGCUGUGUGUGUGUGUGUCCCUUGUGCUGUGUGUGUGUGUGUGUCCCUUGUGCUGUGUGUGUGUGUGUGUGUCCCUUGUGCUGUGUGUGUGUGUCCCUUGUGCUGUGUGUGUGUGUGUCCCUUGUGCUGUGUGUGUGUGUGUGUGUGUCCCUUGUGCUGUGUGUGUGUGUGUGUCCCUUUUGCUGUGUGUGUGUGUGUGUCCUUUUGCUGUGUGUGUGUGUCCCUUGUACUGUGUGUGUGUGUGUGUCCCUUGUGCUGUGUGUGUCCCUUGUGCUGUGUGUGUGUGUGUGUGUCCCUUGUGUCAGUGUGUGUGAUGGGUAUUGCUAAAUAACUAUGUUGGGGUGAGGGGGUCUCUGACCUCUGUUGGGGUGAGGGGGUCUCUGACCUCUGUUGGGG
ensembl:lncRNA